UAGAGUUUGAUCCUGGCUCAGAUUGAACGCUGGCGGUAUGCUUAACACAUGCAAGUCGAACGGAAACGAUACUAGCUUGCUAGUAGGCGUCGAGUGGCGGACGGGUGAGUAACGCGUAGGAAUCUACCAGAUAGUGGGGGAUAGCCCGCAGAAAUUCGGAUUAAUACCGCAUAAUCUCUACGGAGUAAAGGAGGCCUCUAUUUAUAUGCUUUCGCUAUCUGAUGAGCCUGCGUAAGAUUAGCUAGUUGGUGAGGUAAAAGCUCACCAAGGCAACGAUCUUUAGCUGGUCUGAGAGGAUGAUCAGCCACACUGGGACUGAGACACGGCCCAGACUCCUACGGGAGGCAGCAGUGGGGAAUAUUGGACAAUGGGGGCAACCCUGAUCCAGCAAUACCGCGUGUGUGAAGAAGGCCUGAGGGUUGUAAAGCACUUUCAAUUGUGAGGAAAAGUUAAUAGUUAAUAACUAUUAG
rnacentral:rRNA from 1 species